UACGUAGGGUGCAAGCGUUGUCCGGAAUCAUUGGGCGUAAAGCGCGCGUAGGCGGCCCGAUAAGUCCGCCGUAAAAGUCAACGGCUCAACUGUUGAAAGCCGGUGGAUACUGUCGGGCUAGAGUACGGAAGAGGCAAGUGGAAUUCCUGGUGUAGCGGUGGAAUGCGCAGAUAUCAGGAGGAACACCUAUAGCGAAGGCAGCUUGCUGGGACGUUACUGACGCUAAGGCGCGAAAGCGUGGGGAGCGAACAGG
rnacentral:rRNA from 1 species